rnacentral:lncRNA from 1 species
UGCUAAUGAGGUGCAGGGCGACAGGUGGCCCGCUAGACAGCUCAAUUAAGCAGCUCGUUAAAGGCCAAGCUAACGAAGCGGCCUGCACUGCAAGCCUCAACAAACAAUGUGACUGUGCAGGCUACAAAUUGGUUUCCUGAACACUCUCCCUGUCUUCCAUUGUUUGGAAAACAUAUAGCCCUGACCAUGUGUUGCUGUAUUUGGCUCAUCAGGAUGCAGAACAAUGUUUUGAUAGCACCACAAGGCCAAGGUCAGUACGUUUACAUAGUUAUAAUAGGUUUUUGUAUAAGUAUAUAUUUUGAAGAACAGUGGG